AACAGGAUUAGAUACCCUGGUAGUCCACGCUGUAAACGAUGAUCACCCGCUGUUGGCGAAACACUGUCAGCGGCUGAGCGAAAGCAUUAAGGAUCCACCUGGGGAGUACGGCCGCAAGGUUGAAACUCAAAGGAAUUGACGGGGGCCCGCACAAGCGGUGGAACAUGUGGUUUAAUUCGAUGAUACGCGAGGAACCUUACCUGGGCUUAAAUGCAGAACGACGUACCGGGAAACUGGUAUUCCCUUCGGGGCGGACUGCAAGGUGCUGCAUGGUUGUCGUCAGCUCGUGCCGUGAGGUGUCGGGUUAAGUCCCAUAACGAGCGCAACCCUCAUCGUUAGUUGCCAGCGAGUAAUGUCGGGGACUCUAACGAAACUGCCGGUGUAAACCGUGAGGAAGGUGGGGAUGACGUCAAAUCAGCACGGCCCUUAUGUCCAGGGCUACACACGUGUUACAAUGGCCAGUACAGAGGGCAGCUACCAGGCGACUGGAUGCUAAUCUCCAAAACUGGUCUUAGUUCGGAUUGAAGUCUGCAACUCGACUUCAUGAAGCUGGAAUCGCUAGUAAUCGCGCAUCAGCCAUGGCGCGGUGAAUAUGUUCCCGGGCCUUGUACA
rnacentral:rRNA from 1 species